rnacentral:rRNA from 1 species
GAUGAACGCUGGCGGCGUGCCUAAUACAUGCAAGUCGAGCGAACAGAUAAGUAGCUUGCUCCUUUGACGUUAGCGGCGGACGGGUGAGUAAUACGUGGGUAACCUACCUAUCAGACUUUGUUAACUUCGGGAUACAGGUGUUAAUACCGGAUAAUAUUUCGAACCGCAUGGUUCGAUAGUGAAAGAUGGCUUUUCUAUCACUUAUAGAUGGACCCGCGCCGUAUUAGCUAGUUGGUAAGGUAAUGGCGUACCAAGGCGACGAUAAGUAGCCGACCUGAGAGGGUGAUCGACCACAAUAGAACGGAGAAGAGAUCCAGAAGCCUACGAGGGGCAGCAGUAGGGAAUAUUACGCAAUGGGCGAAAGAAUGCCGGAGCAGCGACGCGUGAGGGAUGAAGGUCUUCGGAUCGUAAAAAUCUGUUAUUAGGGAAGAACAUACGUGUAAGUGAUUGUGCACGUCUUGACGGUACCUAAUCAGAAAGCCACGGCUAACUACGUG